rnacentral:lncRNA from 10 species
GCCUCUCUCAGGUUUAUUCUCCAAAGUAAACCUGUCUUUGACUGUUGAGCCACUUUUCUUGUUUCUUUCCUCUUUCUUUAACUCUUACAUAUAGUAUGAUUCCUUUUAUGUAAAAUUAUAGAUAGAUAUAUGAAUAUAUAGUGAGAUGCAUCAAGGAAAUGCCAUCAAAAUGUUAAUAAGGUUUAUCUCAGGUGAUGAGAGUCCAGGUGAUCGGAAGUUUUGGGGUGUGGUUGGGGAAUCCUAUUUUAGGAUUGUAGGCAGCUGUUUUCAGUCCACAUUUACUCAGGAGAACUGAUGGGGUGGGCCUACAAGAAUCUAUUCUCAUGAGGACUCAAAAAGCCCCCUAGGGUAUAACUCCUUCCAAGAGAAAAAGAAUUAGGGGUCCUGCGUUGGGGUCAAGAACAGUGGCUCAGUAUGAGAGGGGAGGGAAAAUUAUGAGUACAUGGUAUCUAUCUUGCAAAUGAAUAACCAGUCAGCCUUAAUCCAUGUUUGCAUUCUAGGGAGGGGACCUCCAAGACACGGCCAAGUGAAGCCAGAAGUGCAGUUACAAAUUUGCUCAUUCUGUCUUUCAUUCAGCAAGUAUUUACUAAGAGCCUACUAAGUGUCCAGCACUGUUCUAAAAGCUGAGGAUACAGUGGUGAACCAAAACAGACAAAACUCUCUGCCUUUGUGGAGCUUAUGUUCUAGUCCUUUCUUUCCCCUUGAAGCACAGAAAGCAUGUCUUCUUACUAUUCCAGUCUUCUUCUUAUUCUUAUACAUCUAGUGCUCCAGAGCAAAGGAAGAAUUAGCUUGCAGCAAGAAUUUCAGCAGGAAUUCCAGAAGAAUUUGUGACACAUGUCAGGCACAUAGUAAGUAUUUAUGUAAUGACACAGCAUUUUCAGCUUUGGAUUAUGAUCUCUGGGUGUUUGUGGAUGUGUCUGAUCUUCCCUUUUGGCUGUAUACUCCUUGAGGGGAAGAUGGUAUCAUAGACCGAGUAGGAGCUGCCUAUGGUAUCGUAGACAGAGUAGGAGCAGAUGGUUGCUGCCCAACAGUUGUGAAUGACACACUGAUCCAGGGAGUAGAAAUAGAAAUGGAGAUGAAAUUGGACAGAUGGACACAUCUUUGUGAAGGGAUCCUCAGAGGAUUUGGUGACUCACCCAGGAGCCAUGGUGAAAUGAGAAGGAGAAGAGAAUGGAUUCCAGGCUUUGGCCCCAACUGGCUGGCAGAACAAUACCAUUAGAACAAAUGUAGGAAAUUUCAAAAGCAAAACUGGCUUUUGUAGAGGACUAAUAGUUUUAGAUAUUUUGUUUAGGUGACAUUAUUGGAAUAUCCAGGUGGAAAUAUUUAGCAGCUAAUACGAAAUGUACAUCUGAACAGAGAGGGGGAAUCUAAGAGUUUUCUGUUGAGGUGAGAGUUGAGGUCGUGAUGGUGAGUGAAUGAGUCACCAAGAAAGAGAGGUGAUACUCCCAGGACUUAUGGUCAGUCCAGUGGUGUUACUUACUGACCACGUGGCUCUGGGUAUGCCAUUUAAGGGCUCUAACCUUGUGUCUUCAAUUCUGUGAAGGGCUAAUAAUGCCCGUCUUUCCUCAUUCAGAAUAUUAGCAUGACAAGAUAUGGGUGGAAGUGAUUUGCAAAUCAGUAAGCACAAUGCAAAUUAAGGCUUUUGGUAAAGGAUGGAGCCUGCCUAGGGAGUGAACACUGGGGUUAUGACCUUGCUUUUUCACCUCAUCAAUACACACCCACUCGUGCUUCAGAUCUCAGUCCCAGUCUUCCUUGACCACUCAUGGCCCAGUGUCCCCAGCAUGGGCAGUCAUUGCAAGUUGACUCUUGUUACUGUGAUGAUUUGAUCCACACCUAUCUCUUAUUUCUCAGUUGCACCCCCGGGAGCAGGCUUCACAUCUAUUUUGCUCCCUGCUGAGAGUGCCUCACUCCAUCAAUAUUCACUGAAUGAAUAGAAGAGAAAGAAGCAAGGGAGCAAAGGCAGCAAGAAGUAUGGAGUCAGAGGAGAAAGAAAAACAGAAAACCACAGCUAGAGACAAAGCUGUAGAGAGCUUUUCAAAAAGGAGGCAUGAUCAGCAAUAUUGAAUGCUUUAAGAAACAAAAGCAAAUGAGGAAUUUGAAAAGCUCUGGAUUAACUGUAUUUAGAACGUUGCUGCCUAAAACAAUGGCUGAAAUAUGACAAGAGACAAAGCUGUUGGAUGAGGCUAGUCUGAUUUCUAAAGAAGGUAUAUGUAACUAUUGAAAACCCAUUCUACUACCAUUAGGCAUUGAACCCUAGGUAACCUUGCCUUGUGAAGCAAGAAGACAAAAGGCUUAUUACUUUGGCAGAGUAACUUGAAUGGAGCUGGAGAACUCUGUGAGCCGAAACCAGAUGAAGACAUAGAAGCUCAGAGAGGCUGAAGGACUUCCAGAGUCACAAAGCUAGAAGGGGGCAGAGUUCGGAUUAAAUAUUCCAGUCUGGGACACCGGGAACCAUGGUUUCCAGACUUUUGAGAACUGUCUCAAUUUCAGAUAUUCCGUUUCUGGUCAAACCACAGCUUCUUGGAGACAAGGGACUGCCAUGUCUCAUAUGUCACUGUGUAUCUGUCUCCAACAGAGUGUUUGCAUAUUGUACAUAAUGGAUUAAUUGCAUGUCUGCCAAUACAGAAAUAAUCACCACAGUUAUGAGAGACAUUUAAUAAAACCAGAGAUGUUGGAGUGUCAGUGCAGACUUGCCAUUAAGUAAUUAACUGAUAUAAUGAAUAAACAGUUAUUGAGCACCU